rnacentral:rRNA from 1 species
UCCCGUUGAUCCUGCGGGAGACUACUGCUAGCAGGAUGCGAUUCAGACAUGCAAGUCUAUAUUCCGAUAUGGCGGAAGGCUGAGUAACACGUCAAUAAUCUAACCUUAAGUGGAGCAUAACCUCGGGAAACUGAGGGUAAUUCUCCAUAGGAGCGAGAUGCUGGAAAGCGCUUGCUUUGAAAGCUUCGGCGCUUAAGGAUGAGUUGGCGGCAGAUUAGCUAGUUGGUAGGGUAAAGGCCUACCAAGGCGAAGAUCUGUAGGGGUGAUGAGAGUCAUAGCCUCCAGAGGAACACUGAGAUAAGGGUUCCAGCUUUACGGAGUGCAGCAGUUACGAAACCUUUACAAUGCGCGCAAGCGUGAUAAGGGCAUCCUGCGUGCCGGCCUAUGGUCGGCUUUUGUCGAGUGUAAAAAUCUCGGAGAAUAAGGGGUGGGCAAGACCGGUGCCAGCCGCCGCGGUAAUCCCGGCGCCCCGAGUGGUAGUCAUGUUUAUUGGGUUUAAAGCAUCCGUAGCCUGUUGGAUUAGUUCUCGGUGAAAUUUAGCGUCUUAAACGUUAAGAUGGCUGAGAAAACUUACCAACUAGGGACCGGGAGAAGUAGGGGGAAUGUCGGGGGGAGCGGUAAAAUGUUGUAAUCCUCGAUGGACCAUCAGUGGCGAAGGCGCCCUACUAGAACGGCUUCGACGGUCAGGAAUGAAAGCUGGGGGAGCAAACCGGAUUAGAUACCCGGGUAGUCCCAGCCGUAAACGCUGUCUGCAAGGUGCUGCAUUUGUUUCGAGCUUAUGCAGUGUCGAAGAGAAAUCGUUAAGCAGACCACCUGGGAAGUACGGUCGCAAGGCUGAAACUUAAAGGAAUAGGCGGGGGGUCACCACAAGGGGUGUUUGUUGCGGUUUAAUUCAACUAUACGCGGGGAACCCUACCAGAGCCGACAGCAGAAUGAAGGUCAACCUGAAUGGUUUACUUGACGCGCUGAGAGGUGGUGCAUGGCGGUCGUCAGCUCGUGCCAUGAGGUGUUCAGUUAAGUCUGAGAACGAGCGAGACCUGCGUCUUCAGUUGCCACCGUUCUUAUUUGAGAGCGAGCACACUGAAGAGACUGCAUUCGAAAGGAUGAGGAAGGUGCAGGCUACGGUACGUCUGUAUGCCCCGAAUGCUCUGGGCUACACGCGACAAUCACUGGUCGGAACAACGGGCUGCGACUCCGAAAGGAGAAGCUAAUCCCUUAAAGCCGAUCCGGUCCGAAUUGAGGUUUGCAACUCAACCUCAUGAAGUCGAAAUCCCUAGUAAUCGUAUAUUAGCAAUGUACGGUGAAUACGUCCCUGACCCUUGCACUCACUGCCUGUCAAGCCAACCGAGCAGGGUUAUGAUGAGGGCUUAUCUUUUAGGUAGGUUCAAAUCAUUGCUCAGUGAGGCGGGUUAAGUCAACACAAGGUACCUGUA